CUUGAUCUUAGUAUUUACAUGUCAUUGGGUUUGGACUUGUAAACAGAGAAACCUGCUAAGGCUCAGGAUGCCUCAUCUCCAUGGCAGAUGUGUAUCGCCUCGGCCAUUGACUAGAGAACAGCACUGUCAGUUCCACAGACUGUAGAAGCUACCCUCUGCAGCUCGGAUGGGAUGCCUGGAUGCCAGAAGAUAAAUGUUCUUAACAAAGAUGUUCCCUACGGCCAUUCAAGUAAUGAAGUUGCACCAGUAUAACAUGGAAGUUGAUGAAAGCAGGAGCCAUUUUUGGGGCAGCGGGUAUAGAAAAUGAAUGAAUGCACACACCUCCUGACUACGAUGGUCGUAAUGCUCAAUCCAAGCAGUGCAGCUUCGUAGCUUUGGUAAGCUCAUUUGCCAGUGGAUCGUGGAUGCCUGGGCGAAGGUAUGAGACUCCAAUGUCAUCCGAUUUUUCAGGAAGGCCGGAAUUAUCACUGAACAGCUAAGUACUGGUAACAGCAACGAGAUUGACUCGGAUAAUGAUGAGAAUGAUGAGAGGGAUCUGGGCAUGCUUGAUGCCGAAAUCGCCCAACUGUUAAACUCAGACAGAAGAUGAAGAAUUUUAUGGAUUUGUGGGAGAGGAAUAAAAUGAAAAAGUG